UGGGACGGUCGCCAGCUGGGACUUCUCUCCGCCUUUCAGUUUGGGGCUCUCGACGUGCCUUUACUGCCCAGGUGACAGGGGUGACCAGAGAGGACUUGCUCUAUUAUUAUUAUUAUUAAGUCUCUUCUGCCCUAGACCUGAGCUUCUUAAAAGUAAGAACUCCUGUGAUCAGUCGUCGUCACCCACCGCUCCCGCAGUGCGGAGGGCUCGCCAGGGGCCCACUCUCUUCAGUUGGCUGAAGAGAGUGGGUGCUUAGUAGCCAAGAGGAGGGAGUUGGAAACCUGGAAUUAGGAAUCCCGGCUGCGCGCCCCUCCCUCGCCACCUGCCGCCUAGCGUGGUGCAUCUUCAGGUCUCCCAUCUAGGCUGAGGCUCUGCUUGCGGUUCUGGAAGGUGGUGAGAAGAGUGCAGCGAAAAUGGAAGGACAAGCAACAAACUGGGAGAAAAUAUUUGCAAAAAUACAUAUCUGAUAAAUGACUGUAUCCAGACUCUAUGAAGAACUACAACUUGAUAAGAAGUGGCAGUGGCAGCCAGAGUCUUCAUUCUGCUUAAGUGCUCCGGGCUCCUAAGAGGCCCUUGGAGAAGACUGCAUAGAACCUGGAAACCUUCCAGUUUCACUUAGAGAAUUCAGUGUCACUCAUAGUUCCCUGGCUGUGAGUUCAAGUUCAUCUUUGGCAUCAGCCGAUUCUGUUUCCAGCUCUGCAGUUCUUUCCAGGUCUCCUAACCUGUACCUGUACCAGAAAGUCUGACCUCCUGGUAAUGUAGACGAGGAGGCCGUGCUGUGAAUGAGUUCUCCACUGCGUCCUCACUGGUGUUUCAGGAGCUCCUGGAAAGCUUCAAAGAGGAGGUGGCUUAGAAGUGGGCUUUGAAAGCCGAGUUCACCAAGCGGAGAAGUGGGGAUUCAUCUUUCCAGAGUAGCUGGGGCAGGUGUGAAGGAGCAUAUCAAGUGUUCAGGGAAUUCAGGCAAUUAGAUACAGUUAACAUUUUCCUGAGCCACCAUUUCCCUCUAUUUAGCAUGUGACCUGAUAUUUGAGAAAAGCUCAACUAUGGAAUGAAAAACCAGGAAUGGAUGUCCUCCAAAUUUUAAUUUUCUUCUCAGUUAUACUAGCCUUUACAAAGCUGUUGUGAAAAAUGAGAUGACCAGAAGAAAUUCACCUUUCAGUGGCAGCUGCCACUAACACACAGAAGCACUCAUUCAAGAUGGCUUAAAGGAGACAGUGACUCAAUGUAUGACUGGAAAAUAGAGCAAUUCAGGCAAGUGUGAAAGGAAUUAAUAUUUUCUAAUAACUCCUCCAAGAUGAACAGUUGCUUAUUAGGAUGUACAUUUGAUUUAAUUAUUCUCAAAACUGGCUAUUUUUGGAGGGGAAGGCAGUGUGAAGCAAGAAGGGAAGGGGCAAUUGUCUUUAGAAUCCCUAAUUAACACAAGUGUCUGCUUUCAGAAAAUCCUUCAUUUGAGCUAUUUCUUUUCACUAUUUCCUAUGGGGUGCAUGACAUUUUAGAAUUCUUGGUUUCAGCAGCAACCCAAAAAGACAGAAUUGCAAACUUGCACAUCAAAAAUGGAAUAAAAAAAGCACCAUGAUUUGGAACAAA